CCCAUUUUAAAGAUAAGAAGAGUAAGUUUUGCUGAAGCAAUCAGUUAAUGUGCCCUCAGCGUAAGGAGCAUCAGGGCAAAGACCCCCUCGUGGGAAACCUCUUCUCAGGGCUCCUUGUUGCCUUCUUGAAGAAUGACCUGCUUUUCCAGGAUCAGACUUGGCAACGGUUAUGCAGUGCGGAUCUCUCCCAGGUUGAAGAAAGAGCCUUGGCCAGGAAAUCAGGAUGCCUGUGUGAACCCCUGCUGAGCAUCUCUGGGCAAGCUGAGUUACCUCUCUGUGCAUUCUGCCUAAGAGGUCCCUCCUUGAAUUCCAUGGCUACCUGGGCGUCUGCUGGGCUUGUGCACAGUAUCUACCUGGCCUUUUCCCUGUGGGUGGCUAUUUAGGUCGUUUCAUCCUUGAAGUUACAGAGAGUCCCCACAUCUAAAAGGAGAGGGCACUAAGGAGCUGAUGGCUGUGCACUCAUUGCAAAUGUUUGUCAAGAGAUCGUGCCUCCCAUGGAGAUUCUGACAAGAGCCUACAGUCCUAUUUCAUUCUAUGAAGCCUGGUACUCAUGACUACCCAUAACUACCA